UACGAAAGGAGCAAGUGUUAUUAGAUUAACUGGGACGUAAAGGGCACGUAGGUGGUUUGUUUAUGUGUAUUAUUAAAUUAUAAAGCAUAACUUUAUAAUGUAGUAUAAACAGCAAAACUAGAGUUAGGUAGAGAGUAGUAGAAUUUCUAAUGUAAAGGUGAAAUUUGAUAAAAUUAGAGAGAAUACCAAUGGCGUAAGCAACUACUUGGAC
rnacentral:rRNA from 1 species